UUGAGGAAGUUGAUGCGGAUGCAGCCAAGUGUUUGGUGUACGUCAGUGAUGUGUUGUUAUAGUUGUUUCUGAACUCAUAAUACUAACUGUGGCUGAGUUUUACUGUUCAACUAUGCAGUGUUCUUUAAUUAUAUGAGUUUGAUGAAGCAGGAGAACAUGAACCUAAUGCGAAUAUGUUGCACAGAUCCAGAAGUCGUGGAUUCACUGUGUUGUCUACAUGUUCUUACUCUGAUGAAGAGUGAAAAACAAUAAAGAAGAGUGUCAUGUCUGAAAAUUGGAGGUGGAAUAAAAACUCAUU
rnacentral:lncRNA from 1 species